rnacentral:lncRNA from 1 species
GGUGUGGGGUCCCUCGUGGCCUCGGGAUGGCUGCAAUGUGAUUGUGAGAGCCGGGAUGAAGUCAGCACUGACAAAGUGAGGGGAUUGAUGGAUGGACAAAGCAGGGAACUGGAUAAGCCUCUGGAAGGACUCAUGUCCUCCAUCCCUGCCUACAGCAAGCCUUUGCCAAGGGCCCUCUGCUCUUGGGGUACAGGUGAAUCAUUCUGAACAGUGUGAGAAGUUCUAUACACAAAGUUCGAAGCCCAGCCUUCACAUUGAGAUUAUCUGAGAAACUUGCAAAAAGGAUACCAAUGGUCAGGGAGUACCUCAGACCAACUCGAUCAGAUUUCUGGUGGUUGGCAUGGGGAUUGGGAUUGUAUGGAAAUGUUCUCCAGGUGACUUUAAUAGCAGCUGGCCAAGAAGUGGAGCUGCUGUUUAUUCUCCCGGUGGCUCUGUGUACACGCUCUGCCCGUGGAGCUGCCUGGGAUGAGCCGUGAGUCCUCUGAGAACUGCUUCCUGUUUCGUCUGGUAACUCCUAAGCCUGCCUUUCUUUCCUACAGUCUGCAUUUGUGGAAAUCUGCAGUAUUUGAAGUUUGGAGGAGAUCAAUUUUUCAUCCUUUCCUUCGUGGGAUAAAGAAUAUUUCAACCACCUCUGGAGACCAAAGAGUUCUGAGAAGUUUUGAAAUAGCUUGGGAAAUACACCACGUGCUUCACACUUCAUUUUUCUCCUCUCUCUUUCAUUGUUUGACUUAAUUAAAAUAUUGUAAUGCAAGAAGGAGAGAUGAGGCAAACGUUUAGAGAAGGAAAAGGAAAUGGGUUCAUGUUUAAACUGACUCUGAGCAAGCAUGGCGAUGGUAGUUUGAAAGAAUUCUGAGCAUGUAGGAAGGUAAACUCAAAAUGUUCUUCCUGCCUGAGAAGUGAUUAAAAUACCUGUGAGCACCAA